CAGGGUUUGUUGUUAAAUUGUGGUUUAGUCUGCGACGAAUAUUAAAUAUGAAUAAAGAUAGCUCUGAAAAAUUCCUGACCGAGGAUUCAGGUGACAUGGUAGUGGAUUUAACGUCACAUGGUGAAGAAAUAAAGGAAGCACAGCAGCAAAGUGCAAGUUCUGUUUAUAGAAGAUACAAAUGGCCAUGUUUCGUUUGUAUUUUAAUAGUUUGUAGUAUUGGCACUGUUGUUGGUUUAAACUAAAAACUCCGUGGUCUGUCUCUCGACAACACAGACAUAUCCAGUAUGAAAAAGGACAUAUUGCAGAACAAAGUUCAAAGGAAAAAAUUCGAACAUGAUAUAACAUUAUUGUUUUUUGGGCAUGGCCGCCAAAACAAAGAUUUAGACAAAGCGG